rnacentral:rRNA from 1 species
UACGUAGGUGGCGAGCGUUGUCCGGAAUUACUGGGUGUAAAGCGCGUGUAGGCGGGAGGCCAAGUCUGCGGUGAAAUCGCUCGGCUCAACUGGGCGGGGUCCGUGGAAACUGGUCACCUGGAGGACGGUAGAGGCGAGUGGAAUUCCCGGUGUAGUGGUGAAAUGCGCAGAUAUCAGGAGGAACACCGGUGGCGAAGGCGCUGCUCUGGGCCGGUACUGACGCUGAGGAGCGAAAGCGUGGGGAGCGAACAGG